GGGCCCGCACAAGCGGUGGAGCAUGUGGUUUAAUUCGAAGAUACGCGCAGAACCUUACCAACACUUGACAUGUUCGUCGCGAGCCUAAGAGAUUAGGCUUUUCAGUUUGGCUGGACGAAACACAGGUGCUGCAUGGCUGUCGUCAGCUCGUGUCGUGAGAUGUUGGGUUAAGUCCCGCAACGAGCGCAACCCCCUACUUUAGUUGCCAGCAUUAGUUGGGCACUCUAGAGAGACUGCCGUGAUAAACCGGAGGAAGGUGUGGAUGACGUCAAGUCAUCAUGCCCCUUACAUCUGGGCUACACACGUACUACAAUGCUACGGACAAAGGGCAGCAAGUUCGCGAGGACAAGCAAAUCCCAUAAACGUGGCUC
rnacentral:rRNA from 1 species